AACGCAUAUUGCGCUCUCUGGUAUUCCGGAGAGCAUGCUUGUUUGAGUAUCAGUAAACACCUCAACUCCCUUUUUCUUUUUUGAAAUGAGGGAGCUGGACUUGAGUGAUCCCAACACUUUUCUCACUGAAAAGUGGCGGGUCACUUGAAAUGCAGGUGCAGCUGGACUUUUCUCUGAGCUAUAAGCAUAUCUAUUUAGUCUGCCUAAAAAACAGAUUAUUACCUUUGCUGCAGCUAACAUAAAGGAGAUGAGUUCUUGUGCUGACUGAUGCAGGAUUCACAGAGACAGCUUUACGGCUGACUUUGUAAACUCGAUCUCAAAUCAAGUAAGACUACCCGCUGAACUUAA
rnacentral:misc_RNA from 1 species